AUUGAACGCUGGCGGCAGGCCUAACACAUGCAAGUCGAACGGUAACAGGAAACAGCUUGCUGUUUCGCUGACGAGUGGCGGACGGGUGAGUAAUGUCUGGGAAACUGCCUGAUGGAGGGGGAUAACUACUGGAAACGGUAGCUAAUACCGCAUAACGUCGCAAGACCAAAGAGGGGGACCUUCGGGCCUCUUGCCAUCGGAUGUGCCCAGAUGGGAUUAGCUAGUAGGUGGGGUAACGGCUCACCUAGGCGACGAUCCCCAGCUGGUCUGAGAGGAUGACCAGCCACACUGGAACUGAGACACGGUCCAGACUCCUACGGGAGGCAGCAGUGGGGAAUAUUGCACAAUGGGCGCAAGCCUGAUGCAGCCAUGCCGCGUGUAUGAAGAAGGCCUUCGGGUUGUAAAGUACUUUCAGCGGGGAGGAAGGGAGUAAAGUUAAUACCUUUACUCAUUGACGUUACCCGCAGAAGAAGCACCGGCUAACUCCGUG
rnacentral:rRNA from 1 species